UACGUAGGGCCCGAGCGUUAUCCGGUAUCAUUGGGCGUAAAGAGCGCGUAGGCGGUGAGGUCUGACAAUGGUUAAAAUCUCCAUGCUCAACAUGGAAAGCGCCGUUGUUACUGCCUCACUUGACGAUAGCAGGGGCAAGCAGAAUUCUCGGGUGUAGGGGUGAAAUCCGUUGAGAUCGAGAGGAAUACCAAUGGCGAAGGCAGCUUGCUAGGCUAGUAUGUGACGCUGAGGCGCGAAAGCGUGGGGAGCGAACGGG
rnacentral:rRNA from 1 species